CCCUUAGAUGUUCUGGGCUGCACGCGCGCUACACUGAUACUUUCAGCGAGUCCACCACCUUGCCUGGGAGGGUGGGGUAACCUCUGGAAAGUGCAUCGUGAUGGGGAUCGAUUAUUGUAAUUAUUAAUCUUCAACGAGGAAUUCCUAGUAAGCAUGUGUCAUCAGCCCGUGCUGAUUACGUCCCUGCCCUUUGUACACACCGCCCGUCGCUACUACUGAUUGGGUGUUCAAGUGAGAUGCUUAGACCCUUGUUGCAUGGUUCAUUAUUGUGCUCCGAAAGGAAAAAGUUUCAAGCUUGAGUGUCUAGAGGAAGUAAAAGUCGUAACA
rnacentral:rRNA from 1 species